rnacentral:rRNA from 1 species
GGAAUAUUGGUCAAUGGGCGAGAGCCUGAACCAGCCAAGUAGCGUGCAGGAUGACGGCCCUAUGGGUUGUAAACUGCUUUUAUAUAGGGAUAAAGUCACCCACGUGUGGGUGUUUGUAGGUACUAUAUGAAUAAGGACCGGCUAAUUCCGUGCCAGCAGCCGCGGUAAUACGGAAGGUCCGGGCGUUAUCCGGAUUUAUUGGGUUUAAAGGGAGCGCAGGCGGAGGCUUAAGCGUGACGUGAAAUGCCGCGGCUCAACCGUGGAAGUGCGUCGCGAACUGGGUUUCUUGAGUGAGUGCGACGUGUACGGAAUUCGUGGUGUAGCGGUGAAAUGCUUAGAUAUCACGAAGAACCCCGAUUGCGAAGGCAGUGCACGAGCCCUUUACUGACGCUAAAGCUCGAAGGUGCGGGUAUCGAACA